AGUGUAAUAAAAAUAAUUUGAUGGAGUAUCAACUAAAAAAAUAACUACAAAUUAAAUGAAAUUAUGGAAUUCGCAUCUAAAAUUUGAUUAACCAUGCAGAAAAGCAGUUGCUAUCAAAAUGAUACAAAAAAUUCAGUCAUAGAUUAUAAUAAUAUUGAUGAUUUGAUUUCAUCGGUGUCCACUGCAAAUGAUGAACAGGUUCUCAAAGUUCUAGAAUUAUUAAUUACAACAAUGUCUUCAAAUGAAGUUAAUGAUAGUUCAAAUGGUGAUGUAGCUACAGAAUCUAAACCAAAUGAAUACAUUUCUUCUUUAGUGAAAGAAAAGUAUGCUUUGGACUCAGAUAGUCAUCCAAAUGCAAUGAAGUUAAUUGAUAAUGAAAUUUCAAGAGCUCAGAGUAGUAAUGUUAAACCAGAAUCUACUUAUUUAGAUAUUAAUAGUGAUAAACCCAUUCGACUUACUACUAAAAUUAUGGUUCCAGUUAAAGAAUUUCCUAGGUUUAAUUUUGUUGGAAAAUUGUUAGGACCAAAAGGAAAUUCAUUAAAGAGAUUACAAGAAGAUACAAUGACUAAAAUGGCUAUUUUAGGCAAAGGAUCAAUGCGUAACAAAGAAAAGGAAGAUGAAAUGAGAAACUCUUUAAAUCCUAAAUUUUCUCAUUUAGCUGAUGAGCUUCAUGUUCAAGUUACUGCUUAUGCACCUCCUGCUGAAGCAUAUGCACGUGUUGCUUAUGCUCUAGCAGAACUUAGAAAAUUUUUAAUACCUGACCACAAUGAUCAAAUAGCUCAAGAACAAGCACGUGAGAUGCAACAGUUUGGUGGAGUUCCACCUGUUCGUCAUCCUGGUCCAAUUAUUCAUGCCCCGCCACCAGUUAUUCGACCCAUGCCUCCUCAGCCAGUUAGAAUGCCCAGAGCACCAGUUCCAGGAAAAGCAAAAGUGCUAAGCAUAUUAGAUAGAGCUCGUUCAGCUAUGGAAGGAAAUAAUGCUUUUCCUGGUAACGGAGGCUAUGGUGAUUCAGCAACAUCACAUUAUUCUCAUUAUGACUCUGGUUAUGGUGGAGUAGCUACAUAUAAUGGAGGUGGUAAUGAUGAAUAUUACUCUGGAAAUUCAUUUGCCCAAGAUGUUAAUCCUUCAUCUAGUGCCCGUGGCUGGAAAAACUAUAAUACUGGCGGCAAUGGUGGUGUUGGACCAUCAAAACAGACUGGAAAUCAAGGUGGUCGAUAUGGAGGUCGUAAUGCUCCGUACGCUAGACAGAAAUAAUCAGCUUUGAAAACCAAUUUAAAGAAGAGAAGAUGUUUAUUCGGUGCAUAAAAUUUUGUGUUGAACAAUAAUUUAGUUCUGAAGUAUAUUCAGUGACUAAUAUAAUUUUUGUUUAAAACUAAAUGGCGAGGUUAAAUAAAAAUUUAAAUCAUGUGCGUGAUAAAAUUAAUUUUAUACCAUUAAUGAAUAAAAAAUAAUUUGUGGCAAGUCGUUUAAAAGUAAAAUACUAUUUUUAUAUUAAAAUCAAUCAUGUUAAAAUGAUUUAAAAAUUAAAUACAAUAUUACAUCUCUAAUGAUAUUGAAAAGCCAAACAUUUGAAUGAAAUAAAAAAUAACAGAGUUUAUGAAACUGAGUCAUAAUGGUGACAUGUAAAAGGCUAAUAUAUUAUAGGAUGUAUAUUUUGAAAAUUUUAUAAAAUUUUUGUAUAAAUUUUAAUAAAUUAAUUAGUAAGUUAAUUUUUUAACCAAAAAUAAAACACAAAUAUAUAAGAAGACUGAUAAUCAAUUAUUAAGACUGAUUUUUUAACUUUUAUUUUGUUAUUGACAUUCUCUUUUGAUAUAUGUGAACAAAUUUUCAUAAUAAUAAAAAAGUGUUAUUAUAA